AAAUGGCAAGCGGCCAUGUUGGAAGUUCUAUCAGCUAGAGUUCUUGGAUUAGGAUGUAGUGUCAUGCCUGUAGCCCUAACUAUUGGCAGGACAAGUUUCCGUCUGUAGUUUCAGAGAUGGUCUGGAUAAAUAAACUACGAUAUUAAGAAUUUGUAAUGGACAAUUGCUUAGAAUUAUAUCUUAUUAUUCAAAUUUGUUUUGUGUGGGUGUCCAUUGCCUUUGUGGCUGCACUAGCCUGAUGAUAAGGCUGGUGAAAAGUCAAAGUUUAAGCAAGCAGCAACCAAUACAUUACAUUUUGACACUUACACUGGCAUUUGAAUCUUGAAUGUCAUUUGUAAAAAAUGCCAGCUGGUUUUACGUUUCAUGCUCUGGGGGUAACUUUUACUUUACUAAGAAAGGUUUAUGCCAUAUGACAUAUGAUCAGAGGUGUUCUAUUAAUGACUAAUAUGUAUAGGAUUAGCAAGGUAUGUAGAAAAAAAACUAAAUGAAAAAGAUAGCUACAAAUUUUCUUGACUGUCACUUCCUGAAAACAGGGCACAACACCUGCAUUAUAUUUGUUAGAAGAACCCCUAAAAAUAAGUUUACCCUCUACUUUAGUAACAUUCAUAAUAAUCAGAGAUGUGUAUCUGUUUUAAAGAUUGCUAAAAUGUGCAGUUUUUUAAAGACAAUUUCUGGAAACUGCCUCAAAGCUAACAUUCUACUGCAUUUUAUAUUCCACAUGUUCUAUGGAACAGAAUAAAAGUGUCACAGUUUGAUGCCUAGUAUGCAUAGUAUACAAAACUACUUGGCAUAUAGUCAUUUAAUGAAUGUUAGCUUUAAUUGUAAGGUCAUUAUGAUGUUUGAUUAAUUAUGCCUUUUUUAUUAUUUGAACUGAUAUCCUAAGAAAUGUUUCCUAUUAUAGGGGGAAAUGAGGUUUAGUUUAUUUUUAACACUGGAGAAUAACCUGUAAAAAAAAGCAGCUAUUUUAAGGUAAUUACUAAGUUGUCACUAGUGUUAAGAAAAGUACAUUUAGGGUGCAAUUUUAGUGUGUAACCAACAGAGGGAGCAAAAGAGAAAGGGUGCAAUUUUAUUGUGUGGCCACCAGAGGGAGAGACAGGGAAACGCCCCAGAAAUCCUUCCAGAGGGGUGCGGCCAAAGGCUAUAAAAGGAGGGUGGGACCGAGGCUUAUGUUUAGAAUAGGAAAGAAGCCGACAGAAGUGCGCCACCUAGGAGACACCACCUGCAAACAAAAAGCAGCACAAGAUAUUAAAUCCCAAAUUUCAGCUGAAUCAGCCAUUCGAUGUCAUUGUUGUUAACCCCAGAAGUACCUGAAAUGACCUACCAUGUGGGGGGGGGGUCUUCAAAGCCGCAAAAAGA